ensembl:snRNA U4 U4 spliceosomal RNA
AACUUUGCGCAAUGGCAGUAUUGUAGCCAAUGAGGUUCAUCUGAGGUGCAAUUAUUGUUAAUUAAAAAGUUUUAAUUUAAUCCCU